CAGGUUAAGUACAAGUGAAAGUAAUGGUACGUUAAAGAGGAAAAAGGUAAUGAAAGGGAUAAAGAAAAGGUAAAAGAUCCGUGGACUUUCCUGGUUUCACGGGGACUAGGAUAGAUUGGAAUAGACUACGCACACCUGACCAACCUAUUCCUAACGAGAGUCCGAUGGAGCGAGAACGGCAGUGCCCAACGAGCAGCAGCUUGGAGUAGCGACGGUCGCGUUCGGUGGUGUCGAGAGGCGGGAUCGAACGGGUGCGGACACGCUCGUUGGCAUCGAGGGGCUUCCAAGAGUGGGUGCGACUAUGGGCUCGCUCGGUGACGCUGAGCGGCGGCCAAGAGCAGGUGCAGACGUCCGCGGCCGCAUCAAGAAGGAACGGAGUGCCUACGGACGCGAUCUAUGGCGUCGAGCGACGCCCAAGAGGGGGUGCGGACGCGCGCUAUCGCGUCGAGAGACGUCCAGGACUUGUUCACCGCACUGCCGUCGUCGCCGGCCUCCUUCUCUACCCACGCACACAUCUAGGACUUCUACAACUUACGUUCGUUGUAUCUCUUGACAGGUUGUGAUGAGAGAACAGUUAAAAACGUACAGGUCGGAAGAGCCUUCUACCGUAAUCCGUCAAAUGAAAGACUACCUCUGGUGA
rnacentral:rRNA from 1 species